rnacentral:piRNA from 1 species
UAAAGUACCUCUGACUUACUUUAUUUAGC